UACAGAGGUCCCGAGCGUUGUUCGGAUUCACUGGGCGUAAAGGGUGCGUAGGUGGUGAGGUAAGUCGGAUGUGAAAGCUCGGAGCUCAACUCCGAAAUGGCAUUGGAAACUACCUUGCUCGAGGGUUGGAGGGGGGACUGGAAUGCUUGGUGUAGCAGUGAAAUGCGUAGAUAUCAAGCGGAACACCAGUGGCGAAGGCGAGUCCCCUGGACAACUCCUGACACUGAGGCACGAAAAGCUAGGGGAGCAAACAGG
rnacentral:rRNA from 1 species